rnacentral:rRNA from 1 species
UUUAAUGGAGAGUUUGAUCCUGGCUCAGGACGAACGCUGGCGGCGUGCCUAAUACAUGCAAGUCGAGCGGGGUUGUGUAGAAGCUUGCUUCUACACAACCUAGCGGCGGACGGGUGAGUAACACGUAGGCAACCUGCCCACAAGACAGGGAUAACUACCGGAAACGGUAGCUA